rnacentral:rRNA from 1 species
CCAAUAGCGUAUAUUAAAGUUGUUGCAGUUAAAAAGCUCGUAGUUGAAUUUCGGGAUUGACGUGAUGGUCAUGCCUUAAGGGGUAUGAACUGUUACUGUUGAUUUCUCACCUUCUGGAGAAACUUGAUGUCCUUUAUUGGGUGUCUUGCGGAUCCAGGACCUUUACCUUGAAAAAAUUAGAGUGUUUAAAGCAGGCAUUUUUGCUCGAAUACAUUAGCAUGGAAUAAUAGAAUAGGACGGCAUGGUUCUAUUUUGUUGGUUUCUAGGAUAACCGUAAUGAUUAAUAGGGAUAGUUGGGGGCAUUAGUAUUCAAUUGUCAGAGGUGAAAUUCUUGGAUUUAUUGAAGACUAACUACUGCGAAAGCAUUUGCCAAGGAUGUUUUCAUUAAUCAAGAACGAAAGUUAGGGGAUCGAAGACGAUCAGAUACCGUCGUAGUCUUAACCAUAAACUAUGCCGACUAGGAAUCAGACGAUGUUAAUUUUUUAAUGACUCGUUUGGCACCUUACG